rnacentral:rRNA from 1 species
ACUGCGAAUGGCUCAUUAAAUCAGUUAUGAUCUACGUGACAAAUUCUUUACUACUUGGAUAACCGUGGUAAUUCUAGAGCUAAUACAUGCAAAAAAGCCCUGACUUACGAAGGGGUGCACUUAUUAGAUAAAACCAACGCGGGGUAAAACCUGUUUCUUGGUGAAUCAUAAUAAUUAAGCGGAUCGCAUAGCCUUGUGCUGGCGACGGUCCACUCGAUUUUCUGCCCUAUCAUGGUUGAGAUUGUAAGAUAGAGGCUUACAAUGCCUACAACGGGUAACGGGGAAUUAGGGUUCGAUUCCGGAGAGGGAGCCUGAGAAACGGCUACCACAUCCAAGGAAGGCAGCAGGCGCGCAAAUUACCCAAUCCCGACACGGGGAGGUAGUGACAAUACAUAACAAUGCAGGGCCUUUAAGGUCUUGCAAUUGGAAUGAGUACAAUUUAAAUCCCUUAACGAGGAUCAAUUGGAGGGCAAGUCUGGUGCCAGCAGCCGCGGUAAUUCCAGCUCCAAUAGCGUAUAUUAAAGUUGUUGCAGUUAAAAACGUCCGUAGUCAAAACUUUAGUCUUACUGGCGUAGUGGCCCUGGUCUUUCAUUGACCAAAGCUCAUUGCUGCCNGGGAGACUCCAUGUUUCAUUAGGGGAAAAUCUCUAGNGGGUUUUUUUUCUUNAUUUGAACAAUUACCAUGAGCAAAUCAGAGUGUUUAAAGCAGGCUUUUAAGCUUGAAUGUGUUAGCAUGGAAUAAUGAAAUAUGACUUUAGUCCUAUUUUCGUUGGUUUAGGUACUUCAGUAAUGAUGAAUAGAAACGGUUAGGGGCAUUUGUAUUUGGUCGCUAGAGGUGAAAUUCUUGGAUUGACCGAAGACAAACUACUGCGAAAGCAUUUGACCCGGGACGUUUUCAUUGAUCAAGGUCUAAAGUUAAGGGAUCGAAGACGAUUAGAUACCGUCGUAGUCUUAACCACAAACUAUGCCGACUAGAGAUUGGGCGUGUUUAUUAUGACUCGCUCAGCAUCUUAGCGAAAGUAAA